rnacentral:piRNA from 1 species
UACAAGGUUAGGGUUGUGUUUAAAAACAGG